UACGUAGGGGGCAAGCGUUGUCCGGAUUUAUUGGGCGUAAAGAGCGUGUAGGCGGCUUUACAGGUCCGUUGUGAAAACUCGAGGCUCAACCUCGAGACGCCGGUGGAAACCGUAAGGCUAGAGUCCGGAAGAGGAGAGUGGAAUUCCUGGUGUAGCGGUGAAAUGCGCAGAUAUCAGGAGGAACACCGGUGGCGAAGGCGGGUCUCUGGGCCGAUACUGACGCUGAGGAGUGAAAGCGUGGGGAGCGAACAGG
rnacentral:rRNA from 1 species